CCGCCCGGGAACUACGAGCAAUAGCUUAAAACCCAAAGGACUUGGCGGUGCUUUAGAACCACCUAGAGGAGCCUGUUCUAGAACCGAUACUCCCCGUUUAACCUUACCUUUCCUUGCCUUAUCCGCCUAUAUACCACCGUCGUCAGCCUACUCUUUGAGGACCUCACAGUAUGCAAAAUUGGUUGUACCCCAAAACGCCAGGUCGAGGUGUAGCGAAUGGAAAGGGAUAGCAAUGGGCUACAUUCAAUAACCUAUAAUGAAAACGAACGCCAUUCUGAAAAAGAUGGCCGAAGGAGGAUUUAGCAGUAAGCAGAGAACAGAGCGCUCUCCUGAAGCUGGCACUGAAGCGCGUACACACCGCCCGUCACUCUCCCCAAGCUAGGCUACAUAUAUCACUAAUAAAUGAACAAUCGCGGAGGGGAGGCAAGUCGUAACAUGGUAAGUGUACCGGAAGGUGCGCUUGGCAAUAUUUUCAGGGUAUAGCUAAAAACCGUAUAGCAUCUCCCUUACACCGAGAAGUCAUUCGUGCAACCCGGAUUGCCCUGAAGCCCAAUAGCUAGCCCGACCUCUUAAAUACAAACAAAUCCCCAUUAAUAACCCCAUACGCCCUAAGCAAAACAAAACAAAUCAUUUUCCCCUCCUAGUACGGGAGACAGAACGGAGCCCAGGCGCAAUAA
rnacentral:rRNA from 1 species